GGGGGCUGGGCGAGCCUGAUCCAGCAUGCCGCGUGAGUGAUGAAGGCCUUAGGGUUGUAAAGCUCUUUUACCCGGGAUGAUAAUGACAGUACCGGGAGAAUAAGCUCCGGCUAACUCCGUGCCAGCAGCCGCGGUAAUACGGAGGGAGCUAGC
rnacentral:rRNA from 1 species